AGAACGAACGCUGGCGGCAGGCCUCAAACAUGCAAGUCUAGGGGAUGUAGCAAUACAUCACCGGCGGACGGGUGCGUAACGCGUGGGAAUAUACCUAUUGGUUCGGAACAACUGAGGGAAACUUCAGCUAAUACCGGAUGAGCCCGAAAGGGGAAAGAUUUCUCGCCAAUAGAUUAGCCCGCGUCCGAUUAGCUAGUUGGUGGGGUAAAAGCCUACCAAGGCGACGAUCGGUAGCUGUUCUGAGAGGAAGAUCAGCCACACUGGGACUGAGACACGGCCCAGACUCCUACGGGAGGCAGCAGUUGGGAAUCUUGGACAAUGGGGGAAACCCUGAUCCAGCCAUGCCGCGUGAGUGAUGAAGGCCUUCGGGUUGUAAACCUCUUUCGACAGGAACGAUUGUGACGGUACCUGUAGAAGAAGCACCGGCCAACUAUGCGCCAGCAGCCGC
rnacentral:rRNA from 1 species